CCCUUCGGGGCUCUGUGGUGAUUCAUAAUAACUGGUCGAAUCGCAUGGCCUUGCGCCGGCGAUGGUUCAUUCAAAUUUCUUCCCUAUCAACUUUCGAUGCGAGGGUCUUGUCCUCGCAUGGUUGCAACGGGUAACGGAGGGUUAGGGCUCGACCCCGGAGAAGGAGCCUGAGAAACGGCUACUACAUCCAAGGAAGGCAGCAGGCGCGCAAAUUACCCAAUCCCGACACGGGGAGGUAGUGACAAUAAAUACUGAUACAGGGCUCUUUUGGGUCUUGUAAUCGGAAUGAGUACAAUUUAAAUCCCUUAACGAGGAACAAUUGGAGGGCAAGUCUGGUGCCAGCAGCCGCGGUAAUUCCAGCUCCAAUAGCGUAUAUUAAAGUUGUUGUGGUUAAAAAGCUCGUAGUCGAACCUUGGGCCUGGCUGGCCGGUCCCCCUCACCGGGUGCACUGAUCCAGCCGGGCCUUUCCCUCUGUGGAACCCCAUGGCCUUCACUGGCUGUGCGGGGGAAACAGGACUUUUACUGUGAAAAAAUUAGAGUGCUCCAGGCAGGCCUAUGCUCGAAUACAUUAGCAUGGAAUAAUAGAAUAGGACGUGUGGUUCUAUUUUGUUGGUUUCUAGGACCGCCGUAAUGAUUAAUAGGGACAGUCGGGGGCAUCAGUAUUCAGUUGUCAGAGGUGAAAUUCUUGGAUCUACUGAAG
rnacentral:rRNA from 1 species